GUAACAGCGCAGGGAGCCAGAGUCAGGGAGGGUGUCCGUGCGGUUGGCCCAUAGGACCGGAGGCCCGCUAGAGAGUCCUGGAGCGGAACCACACCGGCAGGGGAGGCCCAGAGUGGGCUAGACGGGAGUCCCAGCAAGAGGCUGGGCAUGAGAGAGGAGGCCCGGGAAGCGGGCAUAUAGACCGAACAACGUCCAUUACUUCUGCGAGGCUUGGGGCGUGGUAUUAGGGGCUGGUAGGAGCCACGCAUAGCCCAUAAGGCUAGGGCGCUUGGGUAGCGCCCAUUAUACGGGGAGACCCACGAGGGGUCCAGGAGCUGACAGGCCCGAGGAAACGCAAGGCAGCCUCCCUAUUACAUAUUACAUCAAGACGUGGCGGGCGAGAAUGGAGGGUGCCCUCGGGCCGGAGUAGCGCGGUGAGAGGGCCUCAAGGAGAUCACGGCCCUCCGCGAGGACCCCGCCGUGACAUGGGGUAACUCCCAAAAAAUCCCACAUGGUGUGCCGUUGGGUAAAAGGCGAGGAGGAGGUGCCUGAAAACCUCUGCCUCCUGCAUUUGAGUUACUGGGUGCCUGAAGAAAGGCCGAGAAGAGCCACAGAGUCUGGCAACAGCUGACGAGAGUGAAGAUCCACCUUGGUGAGUCGGGAUCUUAAGGGGGGAGGUGUCACAGAGCACUGAGGUGCCCUUCUCCUAAGAAGGGGAAAAGGCUAGAGAAAGAGCCCUAGCAGUAAAUAAGGAGCCCAGCUGUUGGUUGCCAGGGCAACUGGAGUCAGCAAGUGACCCACACCUGCCAGCAGUCAGCUGACUGAAAGGGGCAGGGCCUGGCCCUUAUAAAUCCUGGGGGCUGAGGCCAGAGGCAGUUCCUUGCCAGCAGCUAAGGAGGAAGGAGCUCUGUCAUGGAAGAGAGGAGAAGGCUGAUGGAGGAGCAGUGUCUUGCUCUGCUGCGAGAUGAAGAAUCCCCGAUCUGCUCAUGCAUGCCUCUACAAAGAAACAAAGAUGAUCCUAUUCCUCUGCAUUGUGAGUAACCGGACAGGAGAGUCCCUUUGUGGGUGAACCUUGGAUGCGUGGGUAAAGCCUCUCUUCACAUGUCAGCUUUUGCAGUUGAUAUGUCCAAGGAAGCCAUCUGCACCAAACAAAUGGUCUGAAGCAGGUUGCCUUCUCUUGCAGCCCCUGGAGCAAAGUGGGGGACCAAGAAUCACAUUAUCAUGAUUAGCUCCAUGCUCUGCUCAUGGGAAGAGUCUCCUUUCACACUGUAUAUUGCUCGGGCACAGCCACCAUGGGACUCUUAAGGAGAGCAAACAGAGGAACAAAUCAGUAGCACAAAACACCUAUGAACAUGUGACUUGUGGUUCUGAGUUGUGUUUGUGAAAAGUAAAUCACCAACUGUAUCUCUCUCUUUCUGGCUUUUGAAAUAAAAGACUUAUCCUAGAACAGCAUUUGGCCACCUGGUAUUGGAACAAUAAAACAUAUUCUGCAUAGAAGGGCCAACAGAGCAUCUAGUUAAGAGUUGUGGCUUUAACACAGACAAUACAGAGCAUUCAUGAGAAAGCCUAAACAGUUGAUUCGUUGGGGCAUGAGAGUGGAACUGACUAAAUUCAUCUGUUGCUGCUUAAAGACCACUGCAAGAAUGUAAGCCCCUCCCACCUCAAUGACUUUCUAACAUGGUUGGGUUUGGGGUUAUCAGUUUUGACAACAAAGAAAUUAUGCCUUAACUGGUAGCUGAGCUGAACUGGGGUUCUAGUGGUUGUGACUUCCUAUUUUUCAAGGGGAGAUUCCUGGUGGCCCAGGGCAGUUUGGAGCAGCU